rnacentral:lncRNA from 1 species
UCUGUCUGUCAGCCGUGCCUGCUGGUUGACUGGAAUACAGAUCGGGGAUUUUCUGAGCUCAGUGGAUUUACAGUGAGAUUCGGCUGCCUGUGGAG